ensembl:lncRNA
AAUGGCAUGUAAAUGUGGACGCGUCCCACCCCUCAGGGGCGGCUGGGCGAGGGAGCCGCAGCGGGCGGGCAGGAAGUCUCGGGUAUUGGUCAAUCAGGUUGUGUGAGCUGAGCGGUGCAGUGAGAGUCGUUCACACUGUCGAAACUUCACGGGCUGGAUGUUUGUUUUGGGCGUCAGUGCGUGUGAAAAAAAAAAAAACCCGUGGGUGAAUAUGAUAAACAGCAGGGCUUAAAACGAGGAUGGGAGUGUGGCUGUCCCGCAUGGCACCGAUGGAGCUGAGAAGAGAGGAUCCAGUCCGAGCUGAGAUCUACAACAUGCUGCUGGAGUCCGACGCCUUCGUCCACUCGCACCGCGCGCUCAGGCGCGAGCUGUGCAUCACCCGCAUGGCCUCCGUCAUCCUCGCCCUGCUCUUGUGCAGCAGCUUCUGCCUUCUGUUCUUCAUCCAGCUUCACAGGCCGGCGUGCAACGAAAAAGGACAGAUCGCCAAGGCAAAUGGUAAUUCUUGCUUUCUUUUCUACGUGAUUAAAGCUUUUACAGAAAUUAACCGGGGCGUGAAGGCGAAGUGCUGACGAUGCUGUAAUUCUAGCAUUUGGUAAAAUUAAAGUGCUACAACACGCAGGUGAACGAUGCUGGUAGCGAUGAAAGACUGUAUGAGCCUCAACACGCCUUUCUGUCUUUUCUCCAGCAGAACUGCCUUUAAGGGUUGGCGCGCAUGUUGCUGCUCGUGAACCCAACCCGGAGAAGCCUCCAUCAGCUUCUCUCCACAGUAAGUACACCAUCACAUCUUAUUAAGGAAAACAUAGCGCCAAAGCAGGUGAUUACAAUGCUUGGAUGGAUCUAGCAGAUUGUUAUGUGGAAGUAGAUGCACGCAUGUAAAGACCUGCUUGACUUACUCCAGCUGGUACUUUAAUCGUUCAGAUAAUACAUGAAACGCUCAGCUUUCUCAUAUUUGAUGUUCUGGUUAGCGAUUGAGCAGCGCAGGGGCUUUAGUACCUUUUUGAAAGCACCAGCCGUUGUUUACAUCAUGUGAACUCCAAUGGAAAUGAUCUGAUAUUAUUUCGAAUCAGAGAUGGCAGCUGAAUUUGAAACCUCAGUGCAGUAAAUGACUAAAACAUUGUUACCUAGCCUGAGCGAUCGUUGCCGUAAUGCGUUUCACCUGCAGAUGGCAGCAGCCUUGGCGUCGAUGCUGCUUUUCAUCGUAGAACAACCUUCAGUCUGAUGGACAGAAAUGUGCGGCGCUUUGAGGAGAGAGGAAAAACAACUAGGCUAGCAUUGAGCUUGGAUAGCGAGUAUGUUAUCUAGUGCAGUAUCUGCUUUAGCUGAAGUUGUCAGUGAAUCUAGAUCACGUUCCUUUAAAACGUACUUAAACUUCAGCUGGACUGGCUCUUAGGCUCGCUACACGCUUGAUGAUGACGGUGGUUUUUCAAGGGUUCUUUAGGAAGGGCAGUGGAUUACUUGGGCUACGUUCACAUUACCAGGCGGAAGUGGCACAAAUCGGAUUUUUUGCUCAAAUGUGACUCGGAUCUGAUGUUCUCAGGACUGUGGUGGAUGCAAAUCUGAUCUUCUCAAAUCCGGCCUGAGCCGCUUUCAUAUGUGGUCCUAGAUCGGAUACGUAUCCGAUGUGACGCUUUUUUCCACUGCGCGUGCACCAUCAUUCAGCGUAACCAUGGCAACCACGCCGAAACGACGUUAAAGCCUGUAAAUGGUGGAAAAGCAGCUCAUCUCACCUUUUUCUCCUCCGUCUGGCUCUAAUAACGAAGCUGAGAGCUGAUCAGAGUUAAUGAUCUUCUCAGCGAAGCUCGUUCUGCUCGUUAGUUUGUGCUGAUGAUGCAGUGAUUCAGUCACGUGAUGAUACUGAGUAGGAGGAGCUCAUGAGGUCAUUUCAGGAUGUGGUUCGUUCACAUUAAUGCCAGAUAUGAAUCACUGACCUAAAUGAGGGUGAAGCAUCGAGUCAGAGAGAUCGGAUUUGAGCAAAAAAAUCAGAUUUGAGCAACGAGACUUGUAGAACCACAUGUUACAUAUAGAUCCCUUUGCAUGCUUGAAUGGCUUAUGGGCCAUAUAAACUAUAGACUAGCCAAACACUUCCAGUUGUUUUUCCUCUUUCCUUUAAAUGCUGCAUUUAUUCUCUAUAACGAUUCAGCUUUGUUCUUCAGUGAAGGCCUCAUUACUGUAACUGCAUGUAUUCUUGCAGCUAGCGUUAAGAUUAAAGUGAAAUUCUAUACGUCUUGAAACCGAUCUUGGACUUGUAAACAUCUCUGCUUGGAAUAUAAUCUGAUUGCAUUAAAAUUCAUAACACAUUUUCCCCCACGAACUUAACAUUUCAGAGAUGUGAGGUUUUGAUACAGUGGGUUACAAAUGGUACAGGUUAAGUACAGUUUGUGAGGGACAAUAACAUAAAUGAGGCAUUAAUAUCAUAAAUCCCCAGGAGUUGACGUCACGUCCUGGUUUCCAUUCCUCACUCCACAAAAUAACAACACAACUUUACACGGUUUUCCAUGUAGUUAGUGAAUAAUAAGCCUUAGGAUGGAAGAAUCCAGGAGCAGUAUUACAGAAACGUAUCUUUAGUCUUAAGUUAAGAUCUGACAAGACUGAUCAAAGUCGACAAUCAACUGUUAUGUCUGUUACCGAGCAACUGACAAUAAGAGCACAGCUGAAACGCAAACAUGUAGUCAAAAAGACUUUAGGUUUGUUUGCUACAUAGCUACCGUUACUGAUGUAAAAACAGUCAAAACAAGAAUAAAGUGCAAUAAACUGGAAGUUGAGAAUAUUGUGAGAGCGCCACCUGCUGAAUGUUGUCAGUCCUCAGUUUCAGUUUCCAUUUCCCAAACGUUCUAGUCGGCCUGCAGGCUGUGCUAACCUUAUUCCUCCUAACAAACAGCCGUGAGUCGUGAGCUGGAGGUUAGGGAACUGGCUCUGUAACCAGUAGGUUGUUGGUUUGAUCCCCCUUAGCCGACAGUAUGUGACUGAAGUGCCCUAGAGCAAGGCACCUGACCUUGCACCUGACGCUGCAGAUAAGGCUGGCCAACCCUCUGGGCAUGUGUGCUCACUGCCCUCUAGAAGUUAGGACACCGCUGGGAUUGUCCUAAAGUUAAGACAGUAUUAUAUAAACAUUCUAACUAGACAAAAUUUCCUAUUUUCUUUUCUGGAAUUAUGAAGACAUGAACUGUUGUUCUGUAAGAGGUCUUGACCUAAAUCCAGUCCUCACUGAGUGAAUAAACAGAUAAGAUUUCAAGCUGUUUCUGUAAAACGGCCCCUGGGAUUAAACAUGACAUCCUCAGUAGAAGUUGAAACCGGUAGGCACGUGGUGUGAGAUUGAGUCAUCGCAGAGCUGAGCUGAAUGGGUUAGUGUGAAGUGACGCUUUUCAGGAUGCAAUCAAAUCACUGUUCCUCACACAGCCAUGCUGAUGCAAUAGUCUUGCUACCCAGAGAAACAUGAAAGGAACUUGCGGUUGAUUAUUAACAGCACGUCAACACCGAACCACAAAGCUCAAGGCCUGAUUUUUGCUUGCAUGGCAUAAGUGUUUAUGUUCAGCGUACAUGCUGCACUGUGCUGACGUCACACUCAAAGCCUGAGGGGAUGAACUUCACGCUAACUAUAACAGCACCCGAUGCUGAGAUGGUGUGAUAUAUUUUGAAAACAUUAGUGUUGAAUUUUAUUAGUACAGUUGUGACCAUGCUGGGUGACCAGCUAAACCAGCACCAGACCAGCAUAUCGCCACUGUCGGAACAAAACCUCAUAUCUCCGAAACGGGAACUUUACAGGAGAAGGAAAGAACUUCCUUUACUUUUAAUGGAAGUCAAUGGAACCAGAGUUUUUUCCAAGUCAUUUUGAGUCAUUUCUUGAAGUCCAUUCAUCAUGAAAUUUACACACAAUGUAAAGGAUGACAGGUAUCUUCAAAUUAUGUCAAAAGCAGAAAAACAAAAAUGGAGAUACAAGGUUUUGUCCCAACAACAGCGAUAUAUUGUUUUUCAGCAGUGAUGUGUUAUAAGGUGCUGUUCAGAACCUGCAGUGAUGCCCUCAGUGUAGCGCCAGCUUGUAAUUGUAUUUAAGACCUCAUUUUACAGUGAUACCAAGCUAGCUGGCGGUUUAGCACUUGGUAUUCAGCUAAAGCUGCAGCUAAAUGUACUAUCGCUGUAUUAAACCAUUGCAGACACAAACUCUCUGUGAAGCUCUCAUUUAUUCCAGCUGUGCCUCGCCCAGAAAGUCUGCCUUGAAGUGAAUUCGGUUCAGAGUGAACGUAAUCUUUAUAUGAAGCCAAAUUAGCUGGCCAGCUCACUGCUGCUAAACUGUGCUUUGCCCAGAGACCAGCUUAUAGCAGCGCUCGGCAUGUUAAGUAGCAUUUUUAGACAGCAGCACUUUGGUGAGGGGGAAAAAAGCACUUUCUUAAAUUCACGUAAGAAAUCCAGGUGACCAGGUGGGUGAUUUCCACCAGUAGAACCGCAUCUGUGAUGCCAGGCUGACCGGCCUGGCCAGAGGAACCACCAUGGUUACCACAUUGUAGUGAUAAUAGUUAAAGGGUCAUAUCCUACAUUUUUGGGGUUUUUAUUUUCCCCCUUCAAACUGUAGUAAUAUUAAUAAUAAUAAUAAUACUACACACUGUAGUAGUAAUAAUAAUAGUUAAAGG